rnacentral:rRNA from 1 species
UCCACGCCCUAAACGAUGUACACUAGUUGUUGUGAGGCUCGACCUUGCAGUAAUGCAGUUAACACAUUAAGUGUACCGCCUGGGGAGUACGGUCGCAAGAUUAAAACUCAAAGGAAUAGACGGGGACCCGCACAAGCGGUGGAGCAUGUGGUUUAAUUCGACGAUACACGAAGAACCUUACCUGGACUUGACAUAGUAAGAACUUUCUAGAGAUAGAUUGGUGUCUGCUUGCAGAAACUUAUAUACAGGUGCUGCACGGCUGUCGUCAGCUCGUGUCGUGAGAUGUUGGGUUAAGUCCCGCAACGAGCGCAACCCUCGUCAUUAGUUGCUAACAGUUCGGCUGAGAACUCUAAUGAGACUGCCUACGCAAGU